rnacentral:misc_RNA from 1 species
UUUCCGUAGGUGAACCUGCGGAAGGAUCAUUACAGAGUUCAUGCCCUCACGGGUAGAUCUCCCACCCUUGAAUAUUUAUACCUUAGUUGCUUUGGCAGGCCGUGGAAACACCAUGGGCUCCGGCCUAUGCGUGCCUGCCAGAGGAAACAAACUCUGUUUCUAGUGAUGUCUGAGUACUAUAUAAUAGUUAAAACUUUCAACAACGGAUCUCUUGGUUCUG